AACGGUCUAUACCUGCGGUACCUGCGGAGGGAUCAUUAUCAAAUAGUCCCGGGGGGAAACCCCUAGCGGCUAUAUCCUCUGAUUAUCUAUCUUUGUUGCUUUGGCGGACCGGGUGUCAUGCCCCGGCGGUUAGGUGCGAACCCGCCUGCCGAGCGUCCGUCAGAGACCCCAACUAAACCCGUUACAUACAAAUGUCGUCUGAAAAAACAAACAAAUAAGUUAAAACUUUUAGCAAUGGAU
rnacentral:misc_RNA from 1 species